GUACGCUUCAGCAGCACAUAUACUAAAACUGGAACAAUACAGAAAAGAUUAGCAUGACUGGCCCCUGUGCAAGGAUGACAUUCAAAUUCAUGUAGUGUUCCAUAUUUUU